AUUGCCCCUAGAGGCAUUGUAGAUGUGGCUGCCAUGUCACAUUUGUGUCAUUAGGUGGCAGAGAGCAGAGAGGCCUGUCUAUGCCCAGUGUUCUGGGUUCUGGUGUGAGCACCUGGAUGAUUGAUAGUCUGACACU